UUCGUCUUUCUUGAGUAUCUGUAAAAUGGAGAUGAGGGGUUGGCCUGGGUGCUGUCCAAGAUCCCUUCCAGGUCUCACAGCCUUUGGAGCUGCAAGUGAAGAACAUGAACUGGACAUAAUGGGCUGGGCUCUCGCCCAGAUGUCCGCCACCUUUUCCCCACCCCAGAUCACCCACUGGAGUUUCUAGCUCUCCCGUGCCGCUCCUUCCUCUAGCACCCAGGUCUCUCCUUUCCACCCAGCCUCCUUUCACCAUUCCCUGCUGUCCCUUCACAUCUACUCCCUACUGAGGCCUUUGUCCUGUGUCUGUAUCUUAUGAAAGGAGGGUGACACUGUGGUGGCAAUUAGUAUCCCCUACAGUGGUGGGGGAUGAGUCUCAUGGGGCAUCAGAAGGGAAGGGCAGGUGAACAGCAACCCAGUACCUAGCUGUGCAGAAGCCCCAUCUGCUUCUAGCUUCAGGGUUUCCCAAGCCUUGGACUGGAGACCCUGCAUCUUAAUGAGCCUCUUGAGCCGGUUCAGAAACAAUGAAUCAAAACCAGCUGGAAGCUGCCCUCCGACCCAGCUAAUGACUUGUUUAUUGUCAGAGCAGCAGUGCGUCAUAUAAGGGAAUUUCAAAGUGUCACUAAUUGGCAGAGCGCCAGUAAAUAGCACCAUAUAAAUCUGAAGACACUUCCACUAGGGCUGAGGACUGUGGAAGAUACAGCUGAGGCAGGGGAAGAGGAGAUUGCAGGGCGUGGCAGUGGGUGCAAAGCGCACCCACUUGUCAAUGGCUGCAGCCUCUUCCCUGUAUCUCUACCAUCCCAUGGGGACUGUGUUUGCUCCGUGACUAGGGAAGAAAGCCCUGUGAUGGGCCCUGUCCCACCUCUGAUGACAUUGUACUGCACACCUCCAACCCCAAGAUGCCUCGCUUCCUGCCGUACUAUGGGGGACGCAGCUUGUAGCACUGUAUUAUGGGAAAAGGUGUCCUCUUGCUGAGGAAAGGACUCAUGAUCUCAUCCGAGUCGGGUGAGUACAUCUGUAAACAUAAAGUCCCUUCUAUGCAUUACACAGAAAUGUUCUGCUAACUGAAGAACUGCAGUGAGACCCUUACUCCAGUGGGCCCUUCCCUGCUCUCCCUUGAGUUCAUUUCUUUCCUAGGAGGUAGUGCAGCUCAUAAGGAGAGACCUGGACCAAGAGCUGGACUUCCUUUGGUCUGAUCUCAGGCAUGUAUGAGCUAGAAGGACCAGGAAGCAAUGACUGAUACGAUAAAAAGAAGCUCCUUCUCACUCAGCAGGACCCAUGAGCUCCUGCUGGAAGCAGAACGAGAAGGUGGGCCAGCAACGGGUAAUCAGCGAAACCAAUGGCUGUUCCUUCCUUGCUCCCCAGCGCCUCUCAUACAUGCAGCCUUGCUGGCGGCUCCGCACUUAUCUAUUGUUUUGAACUAACAAUUUGGAGAAGAGGAAGCAAGAGUAAGUGAGAAAGGAGGAAAAGCAUAAAGUAGAAAAUAAAAGGGGGUAGAAGGGAAGACAGAAGGUCAGCAUUUCAAGUGGCAUAACCUCUGUGAGGCUUGGCAGGCCAGGGCAGGCACAGAAAGCCUUUUCCUUCUGGCCCGGCUGGGAAGGCGAGUUUGGGCUCUGCAGCUCUGUGGAGAGGGCGGUGAUCGGGCAGAGGCACCGAGGGCUGAUUCCUCGGGGUUGACCAUUCUGUGUCUGGGAGUGAUGGCCCUAACGUUAGGCCCAGCCUACUGCUGGCUAAGCUUAUGACAUGUGGCAUCAAGAAGCCAGGUGGAGAAUGGGAGGAAGGCAAGCUCUGUGUGCAGCAGAGAGGACAGGAAGUUCAAGGACACCUGUGAUCUCAAGAUGAGAGCAAGGACUGCGUAAAUUUAGGGACAUCCAUCAGGGCCAGCGGUGUAGUAAGAGAACUCCCUAGCACAACCCAGCUGAUCUCUCACGGUGGGUUCCAUGAUUGCCAUCCCCAUUUUACAGAUGGAAAACUGAGGUUCAAAGAUUCAGGACAUUUCAGGGCUGCUUACUCGCCCACUCAUGCACUCCCAAGCGUGGAUGGAGAACUUACGUCUCGGGCCCUGGGCUGGGAACGGUGAAACUUGCAGAUGUGAAUGAGCCACAGCCUGUGUCCUCCACGGGCUUCAGAGCUAACAGGGGAAAUGGCAUCCGAACAAAUAAAGAGAAUGUAAAACACCACAGGGGAAAGAAUUGGGAAAGAGGAAUGAGCAGAACACACGGAAGAGGAUAGGAGGGGUAAAGUCUGAUCUGGUAGGAACAGGGGGCACUUCACAGAGGGGUGAUAUCUGAGGUGAGCCUUGAAGAAAAGAGAGAUUUCUAACAAGUGAGCGAGGCCCGCAGGGGAAAGGCAGGCCCCACGGAGAGGGCCCGGGCGCUGCGGCUGCGUCUUCCCGCCUCCCCGCCCACAGCCACGCUCACAGCACACGGAGGCUGCGGGCUCGUGUCCAGCUCAUGGAAUAGUCGCUGAGACAAGGCACUUGGGCAAAAAGUACCCGGCUGAGGAAAUUCCCCCAAACAGAGACACAGGACGUCCUAGUGGCCUUGGCCCCUAUGUCCCCCGAUCUCCAUGUCUUUCUCCUCCGAGGAAUCCCUCACGAUUUAGCCCUUUG
rnacentral:lncRNA from 10 species